GCAAAGAAAAUAAUAUCUGCUGGAUUUCCUGUGCAGCUCUAGGUUAUAUUAUAGAGGUAGCAAACCACCCUUCAGAAAGAGGACACAUCUGAAAAGCUUGUUAGUUUUACAAUUGUGGGCUUUUUUUUCUUCUUCUUCUUUUCCAGUUAAUACUACUUCUAGGGUAUGUGAUUACUCACCACUAAAAUUCUCCAAGAUACCUUUUCUGAAUGAGGGACCCCUAAAGAAGAGGGUUACUUGAUGAACAAAACUAAUACCAAAUAUUUGCUUUUUAAUUGACUUGAAAAUGCUGCUACAGCAUGAGAUGUUAUCUCAAAAUUAAAAUAACUUCUUGGCUUUAUACUUGCCACAGAUACCCAGUGAAAUGAACAGCAGCCGUCCUGGCUUUCAGCUCCACCAAGAUCAGAAGGCGUGUGGCUCUUUGGGCAGGGCUUGCUGCCUGAACAAGUCUUCCACCUUCGUCUGGAAGAAUAGAUGUUGAAUUUAUUGCUUCUGGGUUUCUUUGCUUUCUUGGAAUAUCCUUUGGGAAUAAUUUUGGGGGUCCUAGCUGUUAACAUCUUUGAGGAUUACUUUUUCUGGCUGGAAAUUAAUAUUGCUUAUGAAACAGUGGUAUAAAAAGGGCAAAUGUGUCA